rnacentral:misc_RNA from 1 species
GUUACAACUAUAUAAGUUCAGGGAUAGUUAUUAAAAUUUAUCCCAAAUUUCCCUGUAAAAUGAAUGCAAACAACAAUAAAACUAAGAGAAAGAAGCCAAAAGAAAUGGUAUAAAAAAAAUGUUCAAAGUUUCAACCUGAAGUAGACAAACUAAAUAUAGGGGCUCACAGCUGGUGGCAGCAACAAGAAGUGCAUUAAUAUGGUUCUUUUUCUUAUUUUGACUAUCCUUCACAGAUUCCUAUUAAGAUCUAACAAAUAAUGAGGAUGAGUUAAUUAUAAAAUUAAGCAUUUUUUUUUAAUUAUACCAACCACAAGGUCUACUCUAUUCUUUUCUAGCAUAUCAGUCUCCAAGUGUACUACUUUUUCUUUCUAGAUACUAUUUCUUUCUGCACAUGCUCUAUAUUAUAGAAUAGUAUUUGCCAAGAGGCUUCAUAGGCCACAAAUUAAGUCAAAAGUAACAUAAUGCAUACAUACCAAAAACUGUUUCCCAUAGAAGGAAAAAAAAA